GCGUACACUGCAAUAAGACUUGAGUUUUAAUUUAAUUAAUGCGUUUUAAAUAUUAUUUUCGUUUAAUUCCAGAAAAACUAUUUCAAAACAAAAGGUAAUUUAUAUAUAUUUCAUAAAUUUAAAUUUUUUGUUUUGUGAACUCGUUUCGUUUAUUUGUGUGCUCUCUUUUUUCUCUCUUCCUUUUACUUCUACCUAGUGUGGACUUACAUCUACAUACAAGUAGUGUUUUUUAGGGUGGACCUAAGAACACAAAUUAUGUGAACAAAAAUAUCUUCAGUAGGAUAUUAAGUCCAAGUUUGAUAAUGGAGCUUAAUUAUGGCGGGACUAGGGACAGGGAAGGUUUUGCGUCCUACAUUCAUUUAAAUGAAACAUUAUUCGAGUCACAAAGAAGAGACGGUUACCGCUUCACAGACCAUUUUAAAGACCUUCGACUGACCUUCACUAGGGCCAAAAAUUAAACUUAUAAGGGUAAAAGUAUGGCCAAAAAGAUGAGAGAGGACGAAAACGGCCAGGAGUAAUACAAUAAGUUUUAAAGCAUGUUUAUAUUAAAAAAAAUUAAAUAAAUAAAAAUUGGAAUUGACAAAAGAAA